UACGUAGGUGGCAAGCGUUGUCCGGAUUUAUUGGGCGUAAAGCGAGUGCAGGCGGUUCAAUAAGUCUAAUGUGAAAGCCUUCGGCUUAACCGAAGAAUUGCAUCGGAAACUGUUGAACUUGAGUGCAGAAGAGGAGAGUGGAACUCCAUGUGUAGCGGUGGAAUGCGUAGAUAUAUGGAAGAACACCAGUGGCGAAGGCGGCUCUCUGGUCUGUAACUGACGCUGAGGCUCGAAAGCAUGGGUAGCGAAC
rnacentral:rRNA from 1 species